rnacentral:piRNA from 1 species
UAAACUUCAACUCUUCGGCCUUCUGGG